rnacentral:rRNA from 1 species
UACAUGGGGUGCAAACGUUGCUCGGAAUUAUUGGGCGUAAAGCGCGCGUAGGCGGUUACUUAAGUCGGAUGUGAAAGCCCUCGGCUUAACUGAGGAAGUGCAUCCGAAACUGGCAGGCUAGAGUACUAAAGAGGGUCGCGGAAUUCCCGGUGUAGAGGUGAAAUUCGUAGAUAUCGGGAGGAACACCGGUGGCGAAGGCGGCGACCUGGGUAGAUACUGACGCUGAGGUGCGAAAGCGUGGGGAGCAAACAGG